GUACGCUGGCGGCACGCCUAACACAUGCAAGUCGAACGAAGUAGCAAUACUUAGUGGCAGACGGGUGAGUAACAUGUAGGUAUCUGCCCUUUGGCCUGGAAUAACACGAGGAAACUUGUGCUAAUACCGGAUAAGUCUUUACGGAGAAAGCUUUAUGCACCAUUGGAUGAGCCUGCACUUGAUUAGUUUGUUGGUAGGGUAAUGGCCUACCAAGACUGUGAUCAAUAGCUGAUUUGAGAGGAUGAUCAGCCACAUUGGGACUGAGACACGGCCCAAACUCCUACGGGAGGCAGCAGUGGGGAAUCUUGCACAAUGGAGGAAACUCUGAUGCAGCGAUGCCGCGUGAGUGAAGAAGGCCUUUGGGUUGUAAAGCUCUUUCGUCGGGGAAGAAAAUGACUGUAC
rnacentral:rRNA from 1 species